UAGUCCACACCGUAAACGAUGGUUACUAGCUGUUUGGACUAAUUAAGGUCUAAGUGGCCAAGCGAAAGUGAUAAGUAACCCACCUGGGGAGUACGUUCGCAAGAUUGAAACUCAAAGGAAUUGACGGGGGCCCGCACAAGCGGUGGAGCAUGUGGUUUAAUUCGAUGAUACGCGAGGAACCUUACCAGGGCUUAAAUGCAGUAUGACAGAUUUGGAAACAGAUUUUUCUCGGACAUAUUGCAAGGUNCCGCAUGGUUGUCGUCAGCUCGUGCCGUGAGGUGUCAGGUUAAGUCCUAUAACGAGCGCAUCCCCUAUUGCUAGUUGCCAGCGGAUAAUGCCGGGGACUCUAGUGAGACUGGCCGGUGCAAACCGUGAGGAAGGUGGGAUGACGUCAAAUCAUCACGGCCCUUACGUCCUGGGCCACACACGUGCUACAAUGGUAGGACAGAGAGCAGCCACUUCGCGUAGAACGGNGACGAAUCGUAUAAACCCUNUCACAGUUCGGAUCGU
rnacentral:rRNA from 1 species